ACAGAGAAGGAAUUUACUUUGGCAGGAGGGUGCAUACAUUCAACAUAUAGGAGUACAUCUUAAAUAAGUGGUAUAAGUUUAAACAAUUCUAACUAUACUAUACAAAAGGUGCAACGUCUAAUGAACUAAUACUAAGGCGACAGGUAACAUGGACCGCCAUCAUUACGAGACCUUUGAGAAGUUUGGUAACGAGACCUUCAUCAUUCAUCUGGACAAUGGUAGAGGGUUUGGAAAGCACUCACAUGAUGAGUUGUCCAUUCUGGUGCCCCUGAGCCGAUGUUGCAGUGCAGUUUACCAGUGCCUCUGCAAAGAUUUUGAAAAUGUGAAUGUUUUGGGUUGCUACAUACAAACAGGAUCUGUAAACUACUACACUACUAAUCAGCCUGUGUGACUUGGACUGCCAGGCAGACAAUAGUCUAGAGUGUGGAAAGGGUUAAUCUACCCUUCUCCUGCCAGCAAUAGCACCAGACCACGUACCUUGGAUUUUCAUAUUCAGACUGUAAAUAUGAUAUCAGUACUUUGAGGACAUUAGAGG